CCUGUAUGUCUACCUUGUUGGCUAACGGAAAUGCUUUGGGCAGAACUCAUCUUCUACAGUAAUAUUUCAAAACCUGCCAGAAACUGAAAUCUGGGAGAAGCCUGACACCAGCCCACCAUUACAGAACUUAGUGAAAUUGUGCUGUUUCUGAAAAUGUCCUCACUCGCGUUUUGAAGUGAAUGCUAUAUCCCCAUCUUUAAGGCAAGCUAACGAUUAAAAUAGCCAGGCAGCACCAGGAAACUAUCAGUGGAAGAAGAUCCUUCUCAGAAAAUAAAAAGAAGACCUAUCCAUCCUUUUGUCUUCCCUCAGGUGCACAUCCUUCUUUGCAGCCAUGGUUGUGUCGAUCCUGGGGAAUAUUUUCCAGAAGCUUGUGGAUGCACUCACUGUUUUGUUCAGGAAGCUGACUGAACAUUCCCUGGCAGGAACAUUUCCACACACCCUGAGAAAACAGGAAGAUUAUCCAAGCCAUACGUUACCCAAGCAUGGACUCUGACAUUGCUGUGCUUGUGAAGCUGCUUGACAACUCCUUGUUGAAGAGGAGGCAGAGGAGAGAUCAGCUGCCUGCUAGAAUAAGCCUUCCAGCCCUGCAGUGACUUCAGGGUGAAGGAUUACAGGAUCUGUAAGUGUAAUCCACCUGCCUGAGUUCCCACUGUAGAGCCAAAUCAAAUCUACAGUUAAUCCAUGUGGAGUAAUCUUUGUUGUAAAGCC